CCCCAGGGACCCCACCACACUCCAGGUUUGUUCUGAGCCUGGGUCUCCACUGAGGCACCCGAAAAGAGGAAUGUCUGACUCUUGAAAGCCCGAAGUCAGUAAUAGUCACGGCAAUGUGAACGCAAUAGAAAGUUUAGCUGCUGAGCCUGACAGCAGACAAGAGACGAGUAGGGGAAGUAGCAGGGGUUACUGCAAUAUAUUAUUGUGAAAUCAAGGCAGGCACUGUCUCCAAAUGCAAACACAGCAGAUCCUUAAAUCACUGCUCUUUUAUGCACUUAGAUUUCCACACGGGGGGUUUACCCAUCUACAACUCGGCCCUAAAGUGUAGGGGACACGUAGAUUUUCUUAGGCAAUCCUGAGUUGAAAUAUCUAAAAAUUAUAUUUAUAUCCUAUCGUCAAAUGAUAUAGGUUUGUAAUAAAUGUGUAGUCACAAAUUUUAUUUUUAAAAAUUUAAAAAAUUUAUUAUUUUUUUUUAAAGUUUCCUUAAAGGCAUAAUUCUGAUGGGAAUUUUUUAGUAAUUAAAUCAGAAACAAAACAAAACCUUUGCCAGGUCAUGUGUCCCAAUUUUUGCUUUUUGAAAAGAUGUUGUUUCUGGUUGCUCAGUGAAUCCUAAACACAAAAGGCCUCAUCUUUUCAAAUAUUUUAUUUACUUGGACUUCCUGGAUCAAAUCUAUACCACUGAUCACUGCAUUAAGGCGUUUAUCCCGGAGGUUUAAACCUCUCCUGUUUGCAGAGGAAGCAUCUGAGCCAGAAUGUAUUAAGCUAGCCUGAGACGUCCUUUGGAAUACACUUGGUCUACUUUAGGGAUAUACACAUUUUAAACCCUGAUUAUGGGAAGAAAGGGGGAAAGGGUGAGAGGCUGAGGAACAGACCGAGCCUUUUACAACCAAGCUCCUCAAUGCACCACAGUUGACUGUCAGGGGGAAGGCAGAGUGCACCAACACGCAGGGCAGAAUAUCAGCUAGCUGGGUGGUUCAGCGAUCUCUGGGUUGUCAGCAUCUUCGUUUUCCCAGCUGAAUAGCAGUGAGAUUGUCCUGCUCACCCUGCAGUUAGCAGCAAGCUCCCCCUGACAUUCCAUCCUCUGAAGCCCCAGCAACCACCGGGGAGGAGGGCUGGCAGCUGAGGCCAUGCCAGAAGAGACCUGUUCUAGCUGGAUCCACACACUCCAGUCUCUGGGUCUAAAAUAAGACUCUUAACUUCUCUGCCAAUGAGCUUCACCAGGCCCGAUGACGUUAACGUGUGCUGUCAGCUCUAUUUGCAGGCAAGGUCCCUGUUCACCAGGAUUUCAUCCAGGUAAGGAGGAAUUGGGGGGGGGGGGGGCUCUCUGCAAAUGGCCCUGUCCUCCCAUUGUGUGCACAGAGAAGGUCUGAAAGGGGUGGUGAGGUAUUGUAUACCUCAUCUUGGGCUGUGCAAAGAGUUGGCUUAGCUAUAGUUAAUUGCCGUCCUCAGGCUACAUGCUGCUCACUAAAUACCGGAGAAGGGAGACUGUUCAGUGCAUAACUAAGAAAACUCACAAGUCGAAUAAAACUAACCAGGGGCCACCAGUGCUGACCAUGGCCAGCCACACACAGGGAGACUUGGAUGAUCCUCACUCUUCUUCUCUGGGGCCUUCUAAUUAGGAAAACCUUAAACUUGGAAUCAAUUUGCUCCCUUCUUGCUCCUUUCAGUCAUCACCCUGACCCGUCUCUGAUGCAAGAGGGCACUUCAAAAGAUGCAGAGUUCCUAAGAUAGCCAGUGGCCAGAGUGUGAACUUCCUAAUUAAGGAACCGCACAAAAGUAACUUUUUCUUCUUUUUGGCUCUUUGUAUUUCUUUAAAAUGCUGUUUCGAGCUGAACAAACUAUUUGAACGUCUUCCCCCUCCCUUUCUCCCUCUUUCCUCUCUCUCUGUCUCUUUGUUUGUGUCUCUGUCCUCUGUCUCUGUCUCUCCCUCUCGAUUUCUCAUCUGAUCAAUAGCUUCUCUCUCAGUCAUGGGGUGUGCAAUAAACUGUUCUUUUUCUUUUGUCUCAAAGCCAAAAGUCACUUUCUGGAGAAACGAGUUCCUCUUCUCUGGGAACUGUGAGUGGCAGCCUAGUGGAGGUUUGGAAGCCUGCCACAGAUGGCCAAGAACAAAACCCAGGCCAAUCAGCAGGGCGGAUCUGAGCCCACAUCCAGAGAGGAGCUGCCUCACCACAGCCCUGCUGCUGCCACCAGCUGUCCGAGGAGCUACCUCCAGGGGCCGGGCGGGGAGCCCCACCUUCCUCAAACAAUGUCACAAAGUCCCUGGUAGUUGCUGUGCAACCUACCUUUCUUCACUCUCUGUGGUCAGACUCUGUUCUGACUCAGUGAAGAACAUUUGUUUCCACCUUGUCUGUUCCCAGCCACGUCAGUCACUCUCCCCAACUUCCACAGAGAGAAUCAGUGGAACCACCAGCCCCAGAUCCUCCAAGAGCAUACUCAGAACUCAGCCUGGAGCCCCAGUUCUUCCCUGGGCAUCUCUGCAGACAGGCCAAACCCACGUAUCGAAAGCUGAAUCCAUUAGCUGCCUCUCCAAUGUGACCCUUCCGUGUAUGACACCAGCUGCACUUGGGGCUGGGAGGUCAUGCUUGACUGCCUCCUCUCAUCUCCUACACCCAACUGCAAGCUUUCUGAGUUUUACUUAAUAACCAUUUCUCAAAUCCAGCUUCCAGAAUCCAGAGAUACGGCCACGGUCCUAGGUUAAGCCUAAACCUGUCCUCUUCAUUAACCACCUUCCCCCUCUGCCAGGAGGGGCCUAAUACAUACAUCUAACUCCACUGUCCAGUGACCCCCCUGGCCCGCCCCCCAAGCCCCCCAGCAUGACCUUCAGGAACCGGUGUUCCCGUCCCCUGUCACCACAGUCACUGCCUGCAGUGUGGACCUGCUCUCGGCACCUGCCUCAUGAGGAUGCCUCCUGCCUCUGUGCUCUUGCUCAGGCCCCUCUCACCCCUUCGCCCAGCUAAUAACUAUGGCAUUGCCCAGGCAUCUUCUUCCUUUGCUUCUCCUCCUCCAGCCAGGCUACGUGCCAUUGCUCAGGGC
rnacentral:lncRNA from 1 species